rnacentral:lncRNA from 1 species
UGUAGAUUGGCUUUUCUUGCUUGUAGAGUCAAAAAUAAUGAUAAGCGAAGUCAUUAUAAGUUGGAGACCGUCUGGAUUCCCAUUACUCUGCUCCAGCAUCAGGACGAUUUGGGCCUCCAUGUGUCUGAUGCUUGGUGAACCCAUCCACUUGGGCAUCUUUGUUUCUUGUUUUUUUUUUUUUUUUUUUUGGUUUUUCUCCGGUACCGGGAACCGAACUCACGACCUUGCAUUUGCCGCUGAGCUAAAUCCCCAGCCCACUUGGGCAUCUUUGGACUAAGGCAUCAGAGAGAUUUGCUCUGGUUCAGCAGAAUUGCUUGGCCCACCCAUAAGAUUCAUUUCAGGACCAGGCGAGGCCCCCACCGC